rnacentral:lncRNA from 10 species
GGGCAUUGUACAUUCCAGGUGAUCAAGAAAUACUUAUGGAAUGAAAUGAGAAACUCAUUGGAAAUGACUACAGGCUUCCUGACUUCAAGCUGAAUGGAUUUGGCAGAGCACUGAACUUUUUCCUGGCCAUAAGCAGAUUCUAUGAACUGCAUUUGCUCUGAAGGCACAUAAAAUAUCUGGAAGAAUGAGCAAAGAUGAAAAAGUUAACCAUGAUAAUGCAUUAUACUUUCUGGAGAAUGGAGUUGGGAGAAUCUGGGUCAUACCAGACACUAUGGCUUUCUCUUCAGUCAUCUUGGUUCUCUUGGGAAAAGCUAGCUGCCAAGUCUGAGCAGCCUGAUGAAGGGGCCCAUAUAAUGAGAAACUGAGGACUGCAACCGACAACUGGCAGAGAACAGAUACCUCCUGCCAUCAACCAUGUGAGUAAGCUUAGAAGCAGGUAUUCCUGACCCAGUCAGAUUCAAAGAUGACUGCAGUGCCAGCAAACAUCUUGCCUGCAACUUCUUGAGAGGUGAUGAACCAGACCACUCAGCUAAGGUACUUCAAGAUUCCUGACCUAAUCUUGAAACUAUGUAUAUAUAUUUGGUUUUAGCUGCUAAGUUUUGGGGUAGUUAACAUUUAUGAAGCAAUAUAUAGCCAGUACAAUGUGAUAGUAAAAACUUUCUUGCAUAUGUCAGACUAAUAUAAAAUUUGGAAUCAUGGUAGGAAAUUAGGUAUGGGAAGACCAUCUAGGCAAGAGUUGGGACAUGUAAUCCAUGAACUCCUGGGCCCAUGAAUGGGCUUUAGAGGUAUGUGAACCACCAAAAUUACAUGUAGAAUUAUAUGGAUAUCUGUGUAAAUGUGGUUUCUUUCCCCUAAAGGAAGAAUCUCAUCAUUUUCAUUUGGUUCUCACAGGCAUAUAUGAUUUCCAGAAUAUUGAGUCACUAGUCUAUGGCCCUACUAUAAUAUUAUAUCCAAGCUCAUUGAGUGCAGAGUCAAUCAUGUUUUUUUAAUCAUUUUAGAAAUUUUUCAUAAGCCUUACAUAAGGUGUGCACAACAGAAGGAGGUGGGGUGAGUGAUUAAGUUCAUAUAUUUGUGUGUACCUAUAUCUAUUAUGGCAGGCUCACCAUCAAUAGCCAUAUACUUUCAGUUGUUUCCCUACUAUCAUGCAUCCCUCAUCCUUUGUUACAGUUAUUAAAUAUUUAGGGAUGUUCAAUUUGUCACUGUGUAACAAUCUGAAGCUGAGUGGCUCAAACCUAGAUUGCUUCAUUUGUCUUCUUCGUGUAGUACAUUCAUGAAAUUGCUAGAGAGUGAAGCAGCCAUUCAGUAUGCAUAGAAGAAAUUUCCCGGACACAUUCUGGACCAUUUUUCCCUGUGUUUCAUUGCAAUAAGUUUGUUGUAACAAAUAUAGACUUUCUCUUAAUGUUUUUCUUUGACUUUUUGCAAUGCAAAAAAACCCCCAUUACUCUCAAAUUAAAAAACAAAAACGUCAGAGUCAUUUGCUAUUUUGACUGCUUAUUGCUUCUGUCACAACUUUAGAAUUGAACCUAGCACACUUACUCAUAUCCUGCCUGUCUUUCUUAAGUAGUUAAUUAUAAUAUCAUGUAAUCUUUCUGGGAACCUACCUACAUUAACAAAAUUGGUUUUCUUUCAAUUGUGGCUAUAAGUUGAUGGAUCCCAGUUCACCUAUGUUUUUACUAAGGGCACUGCUACUCAGG